rnacentral:rRNA from 1 species
GAUGAACGCUGGCGGCGUGCCUAAUACAUGCAAGUCGAGCGAACGGACGAGAAGCUUGCUUCUCUGAUGUUAGCGGCGGACGGGUGAGUAACACGUGGAUAACCUACCUAUAAGACUGGGAUAACUUCGGGAAACCGGAGCUAAUACCGGAUGAUAUUUUGAACCGCAUGGUUCAAAAGUGAAAGACGGUCUUGCUGUCACUUAUAGCUGGAUCCGCGCUGCAUUAGCUAGUUGGUAAGGUAACGGCUUACCAGGGCAACGAUGCAUAGCCGACCUGAGAGGGUGAUCGGCCACACUGGAACUGAGACACGGUCAUGACUCCUACGGGAGGCAGCAGUAGGGAAUCUUCCGCAAUGGGCGAAAGCCUGACGGAGCAACGCCGCGUGAGUGAUGAAGGUCUUCGGAUCGUAAAACUCUGUUAUUAGGGAAGAACAUAUGUGUAAGUAACUGUGCACAUCUUGACGGUACCUAAUCAGAAAGCCACGGCUAACUACGUG